rnacentral:rRNA from 1 species
GUUGCAGGGUAUAGACCCGAAACCCGGUGAUCUAGCCAUGGGCAGGUUGAAGGUUGGGUAACACUAACUGGAGGACCGAACCGACUAAUGUUGAAAAAUUAGCGGAUGACCUGUGGCUGGGGGUGAAAGGCCAAUCAAACCGGGAGAUAGCUGGUUCUCCCCGAAAGCUAUUUAGGUAGCGCCUCGUGAAUUCAUCUCCGGGGGUAGAGCACUGUUUCGGCUAGGGGGCCAUCCCGGCUUACCAACCCGAUGCAAACUGCGAAUACCGGAGAAUGUUAUCACGGGAGACACACGGCGGGUGCUAACGUCCGUCGUGAAGAGGGAAACAACCCAGACCGCCAGCUAAGGUCCCAAAGUCAUGGUUAAGUGGGAAACGAUGUGGGAAGGCCCAGACAGCCAGGAUGUUGGCUUAGAAGCAGCCAUCAUUUAAAGAAAGCGUAAUAGCUCACUGGUCGAGUCGGCCUGCGCGGAAGAUGUAACGGGGCUAAACCAUGCACCGAAGCUGCGGCAGCGAACGUAUCACCCAAGACAACUUUACGGAGUUGACGAUUGACGGAGCGAAGCGACGUCAAAGCGUUCAUUAAAGUCGAGUUGGCUUAGGGAUACGUUCGUUGGGUAGGGGAGCGUUCUGUAAGCCUGUGAAGGUGUGUCGUGAGGCAUGCUGGAGGUAUCAGAAGUGCGAAUGCUGACAUAAGUAACGAUAAAGCGGGUGAAAAGCCCGCUCGCCGGAAGACCAAGGGUUCCUGUCCAACGUUAAUCGGGGCAGGGUGAGUCGACCCCUAAGGCGAGGCCGAAAGGCGUAGUCGAUGGGAAACGGGUUAAUAUUCCCGUACUUGGUGUUACUGCGAAGGGGGGACGGAGAAGGCUAUGUUGGCCGGGCGACGGUUGUCCCGGUU